CAGCCCUGUACAAAAACAGUCAUUUCGGUUAUGUGCGGGAUAAUUAAACUGCAAGUGUAGUUACUUUGUUAUUGCUCUGUUCUCAAGUAAUCGUAAAUUUUAAUUGAAUACUAUUGUUCACCUCUUUAAAAUGAUUAGUGACAGUGAACUACUACGACAGACACCCAAAGUAGGGGCGGACCUUUUUUUCUGGAAAGACGACAAUGACGACAUUCACAUGAAUGUCAUGACAGAAGAGGACGUCAAUAGAAAUCUCAGUCAAAUCUACUUUUCUCUACUUGUUGACACGCACGGGGACAUGAGGGACAUGACCGUGAAUAAAGGAGCUGGAGAUGUUUGCCUUGUUAGACAAACAGAGAAUAUCUCCGGUAAGUUUAAAAGUGAAGCCUUGGACCUUGAUGGAUGUAAGGUCAAAGAACUCGAACAACAAUGGGGGUGGAAAGUGGAACCCACGUCAACCUAUUCAUUCCACAUUUAUUCUGAUGAUUCAUGGUUGGCUGACCAAUUGAAAUAUAAAAUUCGGAGGAAGUUUGGAGUCGUUUGCGCUAAUGCGCCGUAUACUGCGGAAGUCGUUCUGGCCAAACACGCCGAGACAAUAGACAACCACCUGAGACAAUUUCUAAAACGGAUACCAGAAAUGAGAGAAGAUUACUUUAAUAACCCCCCUCCCCCCCCACCAGAAAAAUUAGAAAAUCCUCGUCCACUACCACCAACACAAGAGAAAGUAAGGUGUCAUUUGUGAGGUUUGGCCUUUCUUGGACAUGCUCAAACUCUUGCAAAUCACUUACAAUCAAAUCACUACUCUGGGAUCGAUGCCCAUCCAUGUGGUCUGUGUUCAUGCUCUUUUGUGACAGCAGCAUCAUUACGCAUUCAUCGAAACGUUACCCACCCAGGGGCAGAGUCACUAAAAAGAACAAAAUACGGCAUUCCUGAUAUAAAUGAGGAGGACGCAGGUAAAUGCGAUACCCUAUUGCAGAUUGUCCAACAAGAAGGGUCAAAUAGGAAAAAGUUUAAAUGCCUAUGGAGGCGAGAAAACGGAAACGAGUGUGGAAAAGUUACUAUCGGAUUGAAUGACUCACGUGACCACGUCUGCACCCAUUUACAAUUAAAGCCAUACACAUGUCCGGAACCCGACUGCGACUACUCUGCAUCCUUUUUUCAUUCCACGGCCCGCCAUUACGAAAGUCAACAUGGACGAGAAGAAGAAGAGGACAAAGACUCUAGCGACCAAGAUGACGGACCUCCAAAGAAAAAGAUGAAUUCCCCGACUUCUAACCUUUAAAUGCAUCCAACACUAAUGACUGCGAAUCAAAAUCUUUAUUUUCAGGGACAGACGAUUUUAGGCAAUAAGAGUAGUACUAAGAGAUAGUAUAUGGGAAUCAUUUUGUUUUAAUUCGUUCCCAAUCAGCUUUUUUUAGAAUAGUUUGGUUCAAGGUACGAAUAGCAGUCUUUUCUACCAUAAUUUAAGUUUUGUACUCAGCUUUUUGGCCACUCGGUCUAAUAAAAAGUUUCCAGAUAAAUUCAUUGCAUAAAUUUUUAGACCAAAAAUCGACAAACUGCUCCUAAUAAUUACCUUGUCUGGAGUUCCCAUGAUUGAGCAUAUUUUGAACAAUUCGUCAAUUUCACUUGUCCCCGGAAACAAUGGUCGAUAUGUAAACAAUUCUGCAAUAAUGCACCCAACUGCCCAUAUAUCAAUGGGACAAGAAUAAAAAGGAGCCUGUGAUGCAAUAAAUAUUUAGAAUACUAAACCUUUA